rnacentral:rRNA from 1 species
UGGGGAAUAUUGGACAAUGGGCGAAAGCCUGAUCCAGCCAUGCCGCGUGUGUGAAGAAGGUCUUCGGAUUGUAAAGCACUUUAAGUUGGGAGGAAGGGCAUUAACCUAAUACGUUAGUGUUUUGACGUUACCGACAGAAUAAGCACCGGCUAACUCUGUGCCAGCAGCCGCGGUAAUACAGAGGGUGCAAGCGUUAAUCGGAAUUACUGGGCGUAAAGCGCGCGUAGGUGGUUUGCUAAGUUGGAUGUGAAAUCCCCGGGCUCAACCUGGGAACUGCAUUCAAAACUGACUGACUAGAGUAUGGUAGAGGGUGGUGGAAUUUCCUGUGUAGCGGUGAAAUGCGUAGAUAUAGGAAGGAACACCAGUGGCGAAGGCGACCACCUGGACUAAUACUGACACUGAGGUGCGAAAGCGUGGGGAGCAAACA